AUCCAUAACCCAUUGAAUGACCAAAAACACCCAUCCUACCUCUUGGAAAUGUGGGCUUCAUAUUCUUAACAUUACUUCUUGUGGUGGAUCUUCUGACAUGAUACAGAGAUUUUGGAUUUUCUUUUGGCAAGCAUGCUUGAGGGACCAACUAGGGACCAGAAGGAGGUAUGUGAGCUGGGCAGGCAUGCCCCAACCUACUGACCUGGGACUGAAAGGAGGUGUGUGAGCUGGGCAGCCCAGAAUCAUCGAAAUCAUCUGCUGCCUG
rnacentral:lncRNA from 1 species